AGUGAACGCUGGCGGCAGGCCUAACACAUGCAAGUCGAGCGGCAGCGGGUCCUUCGGGAUGCCGGCGAGCGGCGGACGGGUGAGGAAUACAUCGGAAUCUGCCCUGUCGUGGGGGAUAACCUAGGGAAACUUAGGCUAAUACCGCAUACGACCUACGGGUGAAAGCGGGGGAUCGCAAGACCUCGCGCGACAGGAUGAGCCGAUGUCCGAUUAGCUAGUUGGCGGGGUAAAGGCCCACCAAGGCGACGAUCGGUAGCUGGUCUGAGAGGAUGAUCAGCCACACGGGGACGGAGACACGGCCCAGACUCCUGCGGGAGGCAGCAGUGGGGAAUAUUGGACAAUGGGCGCAAGCCUGAUCCAGCCAUGCCGCGUGGGUGAAGAAGGCCUUCGGGUUGUAAAGCCCUUUUGUCCGGGAAGAAAUCGUCUGGGCUAAUACGCCGGGCGGAUGACGGUACCGGAAGAAUAAGCACCGGCUAACUUCGUG
rnacentral:rRNA from 1 species